rnacentral:rRNA from 1 species
UGCUUAACACAUGUCAAGUCGAACGGUAACAGAAGCAGCUUGCUGCUUGCUGACGAGUGGCGCACGGGUGAGUAAUAUAUAGAUAACGUGCCUCUUAGUCUGGGAUAGCCAUUGGAAACGAUGAUUAAUACUAGAUACUCCUUCUAACUCUAAUGUUAGUCGGGAAAGUUUUUCGCUAAGAGAUCGGUCUAUAUCCUAUCAGGUAGUUGGUGAGGUAAGAGCUCACCAAGCCAAUGACGGGUAGCGGGUUUGAGAGGAUGAUCCGCCACACUGGUACUGAGGCACGGACCAGACUCCUACGGGAGGCAGCAGUGAGGAAUAUUGCACAAUGGGGGGAACCCUGAUGCAGCAACGCCGCGUGGAGGAUGACGCAUUUCGGUGUGUAAACUCCUUUUAUCAGGGAAGAAAAUGACGGUACCUGAUGAAUAAGCGCCGGCUAACUCCGUGCCAGCAGCCGCGGUAAUACGGAGGGCGCAAGCGUUACUCGGAAUCACUGGGCGUAAAGGACGCGUAGGCGGGACAGUAAGUCAGGUGUGAAAUCCUAUGGCUCAACCAUAGAACUGCACUUGAAACUGCUGACCUAGAGUAUGGAAGGGGCAGAUGGAAUUAGUGGUGUAGGGGUAAAAUCCGUAGAUAUCACUAGGAAUACCGAAAGCGAAGGCGAUCUGCUGGGACAUUACUGACGCUGAGGCGUGAAAGCGUGGGGAGCAAACAGGAUUAGAUACCCUGGUAGUCCACGCCCUAAACGAUGAAUGCUAGUCGUCGGGGAGCCAGUCUCUUCGGUGAUGCACUUAACAGAUUAAGCAUUCCGCCUGGGGAGUACGGUCGCAAGAUUAAAACUCAAAGGAAUAGACGGGGACCCGCACAAGUGGUGGAGCAUGUGGUUUAAUUCGAAGAUACACGAAGAACCUUACCUGGCCUUGACAUUGAUAGAACACUGUAGAGAUACGGUGGUGCCAGUUUACUGGAGCUUGAAAACAGGUGCUGCACGGCUGUCGUCAGCUCGUGUCGUGAGAUGUUGGGUUAAGUCCCGCAACGAGCGCAA